rnacentral:rRNA from 1 species
AUUGAACGCUGGCGGCGGGCCUAAUACAUGCAAGUCGAAAGAGUGGCGGACGGGUAAGUAAGGUAUGGGAAACUGCCUGAUGGAGGGGGCUAACUACUGGAAACGGUAGCUAAUACCGCAUACCAUCGGAUGUGCCCAGAUGGGAUUAGCUGGUAGGUGGGGUAAAGGCGCACUAAGUCGACGAUCCAUAGCAGGUCUGAGAGGGUGACCAGCCACACUGGAACUGAGACACGGUCCAGACUCCUACGGGAGGCAGCAUUGGGGAAUAUUGCACAAUGGGCGCAAGCCGGAUGCAGCCAUGCCGCGUGUAUGAAGAAGGUCUUCGGGUCGUAAAAUACUUUCAGCGGGGAGGCGUUACCCGCAGAAGAAGCACCGGCUAACUCCGUGCCAGCAGCCGCGGUAAUUC